rnacentral:sRNA from 1 species
AGUCGGCGGCCGGACUGGGAAGAUGGACGCAGCUACUCUGACCUACGACACUCUCCGGUUUGCUGAGUUUGAAGAUUUUCCUGAGACCUCAGAGCCCGUUUGGAUACUGGGUAGAAAAUACAGCAUUUUCACAGAAAAGGACGAGAUCUUGUCUGAUGUGGCAUCUAGACUUUGGUUUACAUACAGGAAAAACUUUCCAGCCAUUGGGGGGACAGGCCCCACCUCGGACACAGGCUGGGGCUGCAUGCUGCGGUGUGGACAGAUGAUCUUUGCCCAAGCCCUGGUGUGCCGGCACCUAGGCCGAGAUUGGAGGUGGACACAAAGGAAGAGGCAGCCAGACAGCUACUUCAGCGUCCUCAACGCAUUCAUCGACAGGAAGGACAGUUACUACUCCAUUCACCAGAUAGCGCAAAUGGGAGUUGGCGAAGGCAAGUCCAUAGGCCAGUGGUACGGGCCGAACACUGUCGCCCAGGUCCUCAAGUAUGUACUGUGCUUCCACUGCCGAGCAUGGGGCAGCAGGGAUGUUCCCUGGGGGUUAAAUUCUCCUUGAGUCUUCAUGGCUACAGGAAAUAAGGGGUCUC